rnacentral:misc_RNA from 1 species
UCCCAAGCCUUCUGGCGUCUAUAAAGCGGGCCUUUAUUGGACUUUCAGGAAAAUUCUUUCCAUUUUAUGAGAUUAUGCCGGGGAAGGUUUUCCGGUUUAUCCCGGAGGGCUUGUAGCUCAGUUGGUUAGAGCGCGCGCUUGAUAAGCGUGAGGUCGGAGGUUCAAGUCCUCCCAGGCCCACCAAUUUAAUUAAGUGCUGUUAGGGUGCUUAUGUGUGUGGASGUGUAAURUACGUGUGCRUAGGAAUUAAAUUUUUAUCAAUGACGCUAAAGUGAUUUAAA